rnacentral:rRNA from 1 species
GACGAACGCUGGCGGCAUGCCUAACACAUGCAAGUCGAACGAGACCUUCGGGUCUAGUGGCGCACGGGUGCGUAACGCGUGGGAAUCUGCCCUUGGGUUCGGAAUAACAGCUAGAAAUGACUGCUAAUACCGGAUGAUGACUUCGGUCCAAAGAUUUAUCGCCCAGGGAUGAGCCCGCGUAGGAUUAGCUUGUUGGUGAGGUAAAAGCUCACCAAGGCGACGAUCCUUAGCUGGUCUGAGAGGAUGAUCAGCCACACUGGGACUGAGACACGGCCCAGACUCCUACGGGAGGCAGCAGUGGGGAAUAUUGGACAAUGGGCGAAAGCCUGAUCCAGCAAUGCCGCGUGAGUGAUGAAGGCCUUAGGGUUGUAAAGCUCUUUUACCCGGGAUGAUAAUGACAGUACCGGGAGAAUAAGCCCCGGCUAACUCCGUGCCAGCAGCCGCCGUAAUAC